rnacentral:rRNA from 1 species
UACGAAGGGGGCUAGCGUUGCUCGGAAUUACUGGGCGUAAAGGGCGCGUAGGCGGCUUUUCAAGUCAGGGGUGAAAUCCGGCAGCUCAACUGUCGAAGUGCCCUUGAUACUGAUGAGCUCGAGGGAGGUAGGGGUGUGUGGAACUUCCGGUGGAGCGGUGAAAUGCGUUGAUAUCGGAAGGAACGCCGGUGGCGAAAGCGACGCACUGGACCUCUUCUGACGCUGAGGCGCGAAAGCUAGGGGAGCAAACGGG